rnacentral:rRNA from 1 species
GACGAACGCUGGCGGCGUGCUUAACACAUGCAAGUCGAACGGAAAGGCCCUUCUUUUGUUGGGUGCUCGAGUGGCGAACGGGUGAGUAACACGUGAGUAACCUGCCCUUGACUGUGGGAUAACUUCAGGAAACUGGGGCUAAUACCGGAUAGGAGCUCCUGCUGCAUGGUGGGGGUUGGAAAGUUUCGGCGGGUGGGGAUGGACUCGCGGGUUAUCAGCUUGUUGGUGGGGUAGUGGCUUACCAAGGCUUUGACGGGUAGCCGGCCUGAGAGGGUGACCGGCCACAUUGGGACUGAGAUACGGCCCAGACUCCUACGGGAGGCAGCAGUGGGGAAUAUUGCACAAUGGGCGGAAGCCUGAUGCAGCAACGCCGCGUGCGGGAUGACGGCCUUCGGGUUGUAAACCGCUUUCGCCUGUGACGAAGCGUGAGUGACGGUAAUGGGUAAAGAAGCACCGGCUAACUACGUG